UUCUCAUGUCAAUGCGUCAUGGAUUUUUGACUUGGCCGAGCACCAAUUUGUUAUAAUACACAAACAUUUUCGUUAAUUCUACUAAAAUUUAUAAAGUGCCGAGAAUUUUGAGUCAGUUGCGAUUUUGCGGUCAUUCGUGUAUCGUCUUUAAACAUAAAAGAUGUUAUCAAUUAAAUACGAUCCCGUACAUGGGUACGACUAUUCUUAUAAUACAGUCUUUAUCCCAGACUAUAAGAUUCAUCGGCCUUACGAUUUUUAUUUUGAUUGGCCGUGGAGAUACCGGGUUUGGUUACCUAACAGGCCCUAUAGGCGAUUUUUGCAUAAGGAGCUUUCCGGUAUCAGAGACAUCAUCUAUAUGUCGUAAUGGAAAUUUGAAGUCAACGAAAUAACAAUAUAUAUUUUUUAAAUAUUUACAAAAAUUUUCGACAUGUUUUGAUUUUAUUAUAUUAAUUUUUUACGUUAAUAAAUUGGUUUAACAAAAUUUACGUUAUAUAAUU